CAUACACCGUAUUUCAGAGCAAGCUCUAGCAGUUCUCUCUACCAUGACAUUGCUACUUCAUCCUGGAAAUAAUUCACCUGGUGCAUCCUAAGACCACACUGGCUUUUUCACGGAGUUAUGUUAAUAGCUGAAAUUGUCAGAGUGAACAUGACUACAUGGGAAGAAGAGUGAAGAUUCAUGCCCAGAAAACAUUAUUCUUACCUCACACCAGUUUUACUUCGUGUUACUUCGUUGAACAUGCUAGGAUGAGAUCGGCUAGCUGUACAAUGUGACGAUCAGGAUAUUUACAGCACGGGAUGUGACCUUUGGCUGCCCUGGACUUACUCUACUGGAAGUAAGCGGAUUUGGUUUCUGCAGAGCUCAUCCACCUGCAAUGGUCACUAAUGGGGACUUCCCCAGGACAUGGCCCUGAAUGCUGCCAGUGUUGGUUUAACCUACUUCAAGAGGAACCUACCAGCUACGGAG